rnacentral:rRNA from 1 species
GAUGAACGCUGGCGGCGUGCCUAAUACAUGCAAGUCGAGCGAACGGACGAGAAGCUUGCUUCUCUGAUGUUAGCGGCGGACGGGUGAGUAACACGUGGAUAACCUACCUAUAAGACUGGGAUAACUUCGGGAAACCGGAGCUAAUACCGGAUAAUAUUUUGAACCGCAUGGUUCAAAAGUGAAAGACGGUCUUGCUGUCACUUAUAGAUGGAUCCGCUCUGCAUUAGCUAGUUGGUAAGGUAACGGCUUACCAAGGCAACGAUGCAUAGCCGACCUGAGAGGGUGAACGGCAAAACUGGAAAUGAGACACGGUCCAGACUACUACGGGAGGCAGAAGUAGGGAAUAUUCCGCAAUGGGAGAAAGACUGAAGGAGAAACGCCGCGUGAGUGAUGAAGGUCUUCGGAUCGUAAAACUCUGUUAUUAGGGAAGAACAUAUGUGUAAGUAACUGUGCACAUCUUGACGGUACCUAAUCAGAAAGCCACGGCUAACUACGUG